GGGCGUGUGGUCUAGAGGUAUGAUUCUCGCUUUGGGUAUGCGAGAGGCCCUGGGUUCAAUUCCCAGCUCGCCCC
rnacentral:tRNA from 1 species